UUGUUACCUGUUAUGGGGUGUCUAGUUAGAUUGUUGGAUUGGAUUUUACUCAAACAAGCGGACAUGUGUACCUCCACAUGUUUUUAUUUUAUAAUAAAAAAGUAGGUAAGUUUGAAUUUAAGUGAAAAUGGCGCUAAUUAAUACAGUAAUUUAACAUCGACUUAUAAUAACAAAGAUGUAGUGUAUGUAUUAUUUAACGAGAUGGUCUAGAGCAGACUAUAAAGGGAGGCGAUUUGAAGAUUUUUUGUUUUGUUGCUGUGUGGCCAUUUAUCGUACUAGUCUACCGGAGUGUGGCGGAUGGAUCGGGGAUUGUGACGUAUUCGCUGGCGGAGUGAUCUGCCAAUGUAAACGUCCUGACAGCGGGAGUGAAAACAAACGCUGAAUUCAUGACUGACAUUAAAUACGUCGAACAGAGCCGCUGUCUGCUUAUUUUAUAACACCGCAGUGAAACAAAGGUGAAAUAAGACGGAGCAGGGACCAUGGACAGAAAAAGCAUUCCGGUUAAAUGUAUCUUGAACAAGCCUCAGAUAGUCCGCGGUCUGGGCAGCAACCUACACACAGACAUGAACGCCGGCCAUGCUAGACAAGGACGGUCACUGAUACAGAAAGUUCAAACCAACAGACAUAAGCAUCUCAACAACACCAAUCAUCAAAUCAGGGCCAAACCUGAUUUAAACACAACGCUACCGGUGCGACAGACGGCGUCUAUCUUCAAACAGCCAGUGACCAAGGUCACAAACCACCCCAACAACAAAGUGAAGACAGAUCCACAGAAGGCUGCGGAUCAACCCAAACAGCUGUUCUGGGAAAGGAAACUAAUCGGUUUAAAUGCCUUUGAUAUCGCAGAUGAGUUGGUCAAAACUAUGGAUCUUCCUAAAGGUUUACAGGGUGUCGGACCUGCGAGUUCAGAUAAGACCCUGCUUUCCUCCAUAGCCAGCGCUCUACACACCAGUCCUGUGCCCGUCACCGGACAACUCACCGCCGCAGUGGAGAAAAACCCCGGAGUCUGGCUCAACACAGCACAGCCGCUCUGCAAAGCCUUUGUGGUGACCGACGAUGACAUUAGGAAGCAGGAGGACCUGGUGCAGAACGUGAGAAGACGACUGGAGGAGGCCCUCAUGGCAGACAUGUUGGCCCACAUGGAGGACGCCUCUGCAGACACUGCAGCCAGUAAAGAAGGAGAAAGAGGUAACAAGGACGAGUUAUAGCUAAGGUUCGACUUUUGCCCCAUUUGUAUUUGUUGCAUCUCGACAUUCAACCACGUUAUCCAGAAAGGAUGUUUGACCUAUUUUUAUUUACCUGACGGUUACCAACGAUACUGACUGCAGUGUUUACAUUUGGUUGAGCAGAAACGAUGUUUUCGUGUGUGUUGUGUUAAACGUAAUGUUCAACAGUUGAAGUUUUUUAAAAAAAAAAAAAAAAAAAAAGAAAGAAAGAAAAAGCCGUUGCUGUUAUUUUUUAUGUUUUUACACUCUUUACUGUAGGUCGCAGUAUUCUUACGUGGUGCCCUCUGGUGGCUAUAAUUAAGAUGUUUAGUUUGUUUUUCAGUUGUUGGUGCUAUUGUUCCCUAACCAGAGUUUACCCAGUUUUAAGACUUAAGCUGUGGGUGGAGUUUGUUUUUCUCCCCCUCUGUUGUACCUUUCUCACUAAGGCUGUAUUAAAUUACUCCACCGUAAUGUGACACUGAUCCGUGAUGUUCGAUAGAAGAACCGCUGUUGCUGCUUCAUUCUGGCCAUGGGUUUAUUGACACACCGAGGUGAUAAUGACGAUUGUAUUUACAGCUGGUUUUUCAGGCUUAGUCCAAACAUAUUUGAUGUUUGAAAUGUCCUUUCCCAUUAAUAAAAUUCCACAGUUUACACAAUGGAGAAUUAUAUAUAUAAAAAAAGCAUUUAUUCUGUUUGGUUUUUCUGACAUGUUUUGUUUUAUCAAACAAAAAAAUGUUUAUUUCACUAAAACACGCCUUAGGUGUGGUACAGAAAUGUCACGGGCAACUGUUAUUCCCACUAAUUGCCCCAUGUAACAGCGCAGCGGAUGUUUUCCAACUCCAGCUAAGUCACACUGUCUUUUGUUUUUUGUUUUUUCUAUAAAUGCGUUCAAAGUAUAGUCAUGCUCAACCUAAACAAACAUAAAUUACUUUGUGUAUGUGUUACGUUGUAAAAUUGAUAUAAUUGCGGAGUACAAACAUCUUCACUCAUCCUCACUGUAGAACAGGAAGCCUUUAUAGCAGUUUCCAUUGUUCACUACAUUAAUAGUCUUCAGAGAAUCUGCAGAAUUCUGUCUUUAGGUAUGAGACAGUGACGUUCAACUAAACUGCACAGUUUGAAAUGGUUUGACUGGUGGAUCCUGCUGGUCCUCAUCCACGAGCAACUAUUUUAAAGCACCAAAUAGUCAUUUGUCGUGCAAAGUUCAACAGUGAUUACAAACAGAAAUAAC